rnacentral:rRNA from 1 species
UGGGGAAUAUUGGACAAUGGGCGAAAGCCUGAUCCAGCCAUGCCGCGUGUGUGAAGAAGGUCUUCGGAUUGUAAAGCACUUUAAGUUGGGAGGAAGGGCAGUAAGCGAAUACCUUGCUGUUUUGACGUUACCGACAGAAUAAGCACCGGCUAACUCUGUGCCAGCAGCCGCGGUAAUACAGAGGGUGCAAGCGUUAAUCGGAAUUACUGGGCGUAAAGCGCGCGUAGGUGGUUCGUUAAGUUGAAUGUGAAAGCCCCGGGCUCAACCUGGGAACUGCAUCCAAAACGGGCGAGCUAGAGUAGGGCAGAGGGUGGUGGAAUUUCCUGUGUAGCGGUGAAAUGCGUAGCUAUAGGAAGGAACACCAGUGGCGAAGGCGACCACCUGGGCUCAUACUGUCACUGAGGUGCGAAAGCGUGGGGAGCAAACAGG